UGGGGAAUUUUGGACAAUGGGCGAAAGCCUGAUCCCAGCAAUGCCGCGUGUGUGAAGAAGGCCUUCGGGUUGUAAAGCACUUUUGUCCGGAAAGAAAUCCUUGGCUCUAAUACAGUCGGGGGAUGACGGUACCGGAAGAAUAAGCACCGGCUAACUACGUGCCAGCAGCCGCGGUAAUACGUAGGGUGCAAGCGUUAAUCGGAAUUACUGGGCGUAAAGCGUGCGCAGGCGGUUUGCUAAGACCGAUGUGAAAUCCCCGGGCUCAACCUGGGAACUGCAUUGGUGACUGGCAGGCUAGAGUAUGGCAGAGGGGGGUAGAAUUCCACGUGUAGCAGUGAAAUGCGUAGAGAUGUGGAGGAAUACCGAUGGCGAAGGCAGCCCCCUGGGCCAAUACUGACGCUCAUGCACGAAAGCGUGGGGAGCAAACAGGAUUAGAUACCCUGGUAGUCCACGCCCUAAACGAUGUCAACUAGUUGUUGGGGAUUCAUUUCCUUAGUAACGUAGCUAACGCGUGAAGUUGACCGCCUGGGGAGUACGGUCG
rnacentral:rRNA from 1 species